rnacentral:lncRNA from 1 species
UGGACCUUUGUACUAUGUCCGUUUUGUAAUGUGAUACUCCUACUUACAUGUUUGUCAUCUGAACCCUUGAACCCACUAAAAACAACAUUUUAAACACUUUUUUGGUGAUUGUGACACACUCUCUCCAUGUCAGCUUCCACUUCAUUUAAAAUGUUACAUUAAAUUCCACAUCAUUUUUUAAAUGCCACAUAAGAAAUUAAAUAUUAAAAAAAUAAAAAAAUUGAAAUUGAGAAUUAAAAAUAAAAUAAAAAUAAAAAAGAGGUGAAAAUCAUCUGCUCUCUCUUCUCCAUCUCUCUGUUCUCUAUCUUUUCUUCACUUAAGCUAGAUAUCAAGUUCUGGUACCAAGAACAUCUUCCAAGAAACAUUUCCAGAAAUGUCUUUUCAUUCAUUGUCAAAAUUCAAAAAAGAAAUGUCUUUUCGUGAUUGAAUGAGCCUAGCGUGAGCAAAUUCAUCUCAACAAUCAGUGUUUUGCAGAUGAACAAUUUUAAGAGUUCAUCUAAAGCAAGUUGACUUAUUUUUUCAGUUGCCGGAGUUUGGGUUGUCGGAGAAAUACUACGGCGAUGAAUUCGGCAAGUUUGAUUUUGACGAUUUUGCCCUUGAAACUCGGUAGUAGACGUAGAGUAAAUGGUGGGGGCUGUGUGUGGAGUGGGGGCGUUAAUGGUGGUGUUGCGGCUCUACUGUCAUGACAACCUUGGAUUGUGAAAAAAUUAAAAUUUUGGUGUUUUUCUACACUUUGUUUAAGGUUAUUUUUUGAUACCCAUAGCUUAUUUUUGACAAUUUUGAAGUUGGAUUGUGAAAAAGAUUAAAAUUUUGGUAUUUUUAUACACUUUGUUUAAGGUUGUUUGGCGGUGAUAGAGAAGAAAAGAGGAAUUUGGGGGGAGGUUGAAGAGAAGAGAGGGGUGGAAGCGGGGGACUGAUAGAAG